rnacentral:rRNA from 1 species
AUUGAACGCUGGCGGAAUGCUUUACACAUGCAAGUCGAGCGGCAGCACGGGGGCAACCCUGGUGGCGAGCGGCGAACGGGUGAGUAAUACAUCGGAACAUGCCCAGUCGUGGGGGAUAACACUUCGAAAGAAGUGCUAAUACCGCAUACGUCCUGAGGGAGAAAGCGGGGGAUCUUCGGACCUCGCGCGAUUGGAGUGGCCGAUGUCAGAUUAGCUAGUUGGUGGGGUAAAGGCCUACCAAGGCAACGAUCUGUAGCUGGUCUGAGAGGAUGAUCAGCCACACUGUGACUGAGACACGGCCCAGACUCCUACGGGAGGCAGCAGUGGGGAAUUUUGGAGAAUGGGGGCAACCCUGAUCCAGCCAUUCCGCGUGAGUGAAGAAGGCCUUCGGGUUGUAAAGCUCUUUCGGCAGGGACGAAACGGCGAGCUCUAACAUAGCUUGCUAAUGACGGUACCUGAAGAAGAAGCACCGGCUAACUACGUGCCAGCCGCCGCAGUAAAAC